rnacentral:snRNA from 1 species
GGAUGUAUGGGUGAUCAGGCUGCCACAUCUGUCACCUCUGGGAUUGAGUCAACUGAUCUGGCUGGUUAGAAAAAGCGUCCUCUCCUUCACUGUUCAUUUAUGUCCCUCCUGGAGCUGCAUGAUCUUUAGAAGACAGUGAACUUCCCCAAUAGAGGAGGGCUGUUCCCUGGUCAAGGGGAUAUAGGUGCAUCCCUCUAGAACCUCCAGAUAACCUCUUUAGGUCUAUUUGUAGGGGAAUAUAAUAGUGUUAAACUUCCAAGACUCCAGACACAUCCAAAUGAGGCAGUGGCAGCCUACCUUU